rnacentral:rRNA from 1 species
AGAAUCAACGCUGGCGGCGUGCCUAACACACGCAAGUCGAACGAGAAAGGGGAGCAAUCCCUGAGUAAAGUGGCGACCGGGUGAGUAACACGUGACUAACCUACCUUCGAGUGGGGGAUAACCUCGGGAAACCGAGGCUAAUACCGCAUAACAUCGUGAGAUCAAAGCAGUAAUGCGCUGGAAGAGGGGGUCGCGGCUGAUUAGCUAGUUGGCGGGGUAAUGGCCCACCAAGGCGAAGAUCGGUA